AUUCAAUAGUGUUUGGCCAGUAAGCACUAACUGUAUUCUAUGUCUCACCAACCCACUCUGUUUAAAACACAGUGCUGCAUUUAAUUUUACAUAACUGUUAAUCUUAUUAACUUCAAAGCUUUGUUCUUUGUGUGGUUUCUCCCACCUUCCUUUAACUCUUGGCAUAUCUCAUAGCCUGUGAGCCUUCUAGUGGUUGCAUGGUCACUCAUUUAUGUCUAAUUCUGCAGUGUGAACCUCUCCAAUACCUGAUGGAUCAAUACUCUGCAGCAAUGGGUCUCCCAACGAAAGCCAAGGUCUCCUUCAUUUUUGAAGGGAAGAAACUAACCGGAAAAAGUACCGUGGAAGAACUGGGCCUAGAGAGUGAGGAUAUCAUCGAGGUUUGGGCAUAGUUACAACCUCUGGUCUUCACUUAUGGUUGAAGAUG